rnacentral:rRNA from 1 species
UACAGAGGUCUCGAGCGUUAGGCGGAAUCACUGGGCUUAAAGCGUGUGUAGGCGGAUUGCUAAGUACCUUGUGAAAUCCCACGGCUUAACCGUGGAACUGCUUGGUAUACUGGCUGUCUUGAGCCACUUAGGGGCAACCGGAACAAACGGUGGAGCGGUGAAAUGCGUAGAUAUCGUUUGGAACGCCAAUGGUGAAAACAGGUUGCUGGGAGUGUGCUGACGCUGAGACACGAAAGCGUGGGGAGCGAACAGG